AAUAGAUACCCAGGUAGUCCACGCCGUAAACCGAUGAGUGCUAAGUGUUAGGGGGUUUCCGCCCCUUAGUGCUGCAGCUAACGCAUUAAGCACUCCGCCUGGGGAGUACGGUCGCAAGACUGAAACUCAAAGGAAUUGACGGGGGCCCGCACAAGCGGUGGAGCAUGUGGUUUAAUUCGAAGCAACGCGAAGAACCUUACCAGGUCUUGACAUCCCAUUGACCACUAUGGAGACAUAGUUUUCCCUUCGGGGACAACGGUGACAGGUGGUGCAUGGUUGUCGUCAGCUCGUGUCGUGAGAUGUUGGGUUAAGUCCCGCAACGAGCGCAACCCUUGUUCUUAGUUGCCAUCAUUUAGUUGGGCACUCUAAGGAGACUGCCGGUGACAAACCGGAGGAAGGUGGGGAUGACGUACAAAUCAUCAUGCCCCUUAUGACCUGGGCUACACACGUGCUACAAUGGACGGUACAAACGGUUGCCAACCCGCGAGGGGGAGCUAAUCCGAUAAAACCAUUCUCAGUUCGGAUUGUAGGCUGCAACUCGCCUAC
rnacentral:rRNA from 1 species